AUUCUAAACUUGGGGUUGAUCUCUUUAGGGGAUCGGCCUCUUUGGAACUCUAUAGGGGUUCCUCCCUCCAAGUUGCUGCUCAAAGGUUGUAGAAAAGAUUCAUCUAUUGCUUAUGAAAAGAGGAGGAAUACAUAGCUAUUUAUAGGGCUUCUAAACCCUAACUCCUAAUAGGACUCCUACUCAAGACUCCUACUUCUAACCAACUCCUAAUAGGACU
rnacentral:lncRNA from 1 species